rnacentral:tRNA from 1 species
GGGGUUCUGACUCAGUGGUAGAGUGCAUGCCUAGCACGUGUGAGGCGCUGGGUUCGAUCCUCAGCACCACA